GAAGCCUGUAGUGCAGAGUCCUGCUCCUGCCGAGAGCUGGCCACACUCUCAGGCACCUUCCAUUUUCAGCCCUGCAAAACCGGCUGAUAUGGCAGCUGUGGGGCUGUUACUGAAUCACAGGGGCUAGAACAGGGAGAGGCCUGAGAGACUGACUGGCCAGCCUUCUGGUUUUAAAGAUGAGGAGGAAGGGGCUUGAUAAAGAUUGGGCAACUGGAGAACCGCCCCAGGUGUGGUUUCCCAGCCCUCCACUCCGCACCCCACUCACCACCUCACUCCACACAUCUCCUCAUUCCACGCAUCUCCUCACUCCACACAUCUCCUCACUCCACACAUCUCACUCCACACAUCUCACUCCACACAUCUCCUCAUUCCACACAUCUCACUCCACACAUCACCUCACUCCACGCAUCUCACUCCACACAUCUCACUCCACACAUCUCCUCAUUCCACACAUCUCACUCCACACAUCACCUCACUCCACGCAUCUCACUCCACACAUCUCCUCACUCCACACAUCUCACUCCACACAUCUCCUCACUCCACACAUCUCACUCCACACAUCUCCUCACUCCACACAUCUCCUCACUCCACACAUCUCACUCCACACAUCUCCUCACUCCACACAUCUCCUCACUCCACACAUCUGACUCCACACAUCUCACUCCACGCAUCUCCUCACUCCACGCAUCUCACUCCACACAUCAUACUCCACACAUCUCACUCCACACAUCUCCUCAUUCCACACAUCUCACUCCACACAUCUCCU
rnacentral:lncRNA from 1 species